GCGCGGGCGCGGAGCAGCGCGCGCGGCGCGGAGCGAGCAGCGGCGGCGGCGGCGGCGGCGGGAGAGGAAAACGGGGGGUCCCGGGCACAGCUCCGGGCGGUGCAAACACACAUCACACCCCCUACCAUCACCAGCCUCCGCUUCUGGCGUUGUUGGUGUUUUUUUUCUUUUUUUUUUUUCCUGUUUUUCUUUUCUUUUUCCUCUCCCAAACCUCUCCGAAAACGAGCGAAGAGAUCUUGGAAAAAAAUGCGCCUUUUGUUUAUUUUUUAAUAUAUAUUUAAUUAUUAUUUAUCUUUAUUUUUUAUUAUUUAUUUAUUUUGGGGCGGGGGGGUCACUUUCGCAUUUCUAAAAAAGCCCUCCCCUCCUAAAAAAUACCCCAAACCAACCAAACAGCCCAGCGAUCAAAGCCAGGAGCCAGCGGCAUUGUUCUGGAUUUUUACUUUUUUCUUUAAUUAUUUUUUUCCUCAUUCGGCUUUUUUUUUUUAAUAAUUUUUUGCUAACAGCCACACUCGGCUCAGGGCCUCCAAUGGGAUUUACUCUUGGGGGAAGAAGCUUUUUCCUUAAAGAUGGUUCCCCAUGAACUCCCCAUAUUAGUUUUUUGCUUUAUUUUUCUUUUUUUUCCCCCUUUUUUUAUUUCUUUGCCAGAAUCCUCCAGACAAAAAAAAAAAAAAGUAUAUAUAUUUUGAUGAUUUUCUCUUAUUUUUUUUUUUCCAUCCGUGUUCUCUUUUCCUUUCCAGGACACUCAAGUGGUGGGUUAAUUCUGUGUAGCUGUUUUGUUAUUGUUGCAAAAUAACCUAAUCACCACCGCAGGUCACGGUGCCCUCGGUCCGCCGGUGCAGUUGCUCGGAGCUACUGAUUCCAGCACUGGCGAGCCCACGGAGCGGCCACCUUGGACGCCAAGUGCCCGGGUGCUGCCUUUAUUUUGAUUUCUCAGCCGAGCUCUUGAACUGAAACAUUUUAAAGCAAGGAGGUUUGGGGAGGGGGUGGGUAAUAAAUUAGGAAGAAAGCCCUUCUGCUAAUACGACUCGUCAUUAAAAAUAGCGCGGUGGCAAGGCAGGGAUGGUACUCCCGAGACGCUUGAGGUGGUACAGAUAUGCUGGAGAGACGGCUUCCCUGUAGUUCACAUGCAGUAUGGGAUUCCCGGGGAGCUGGGGCUGGGUGACUUGUGCGACUCCGAUCCCGGCCCCGGGCAGGGGGGGGGCUCCCGGCUCUGCGAGUGACCAAAGGAGGGACGGACCCAAGAGUAACGACUCUGUUCCGGGAUUUUGAUUUGUUUUGUUUUGUUCGGGUUUUUUUUUACCUUUUUCCUCAGUACUGAAACCCGAAGGAAAGGGGUUGUUGGGGGCGACAGAUGUGUUUGUCAUUUCUCUGCAGUGUGUGACGCUUUCGCUUUAGCCGGAGCCCAGCGAGCCCGGCGCCCGCGGGACGCUCGGGAGCAGCAGCGAGAGGGAGGGCUGCGCCUGGGGGAUUUUUGGUGGAGACCCGAGGUCGAGCACAGCUUCCGUUCAAGUAGCGCUAUUACGGGGGAGAUUUCUCACUCUGCCUGGCCGCAGCCAAGCCGGGCUUGCAUCAGAGUUUCCAUCCUAACCCGCCUCGUUGCGGGGACAUUGGGAGCAGCCAGCAGCAUCCCUUUCGGACUGGGAACCGAGCGGCCUGGGCGCCUUUGCUGAGUUUUUGGCCUUUCUGCUCUGGUGUCGUACCUUCUCCUACUCCCUUACUGUCGCUCAGGGCCCGGCUGCAGAUACCCACGGGCUCUUGCCACCCGCCUCUACUCUCCACUGCUUCCUGCUGCCCCCAAAGCAGCAGUGGUCCCUGUGGUGCCUCGAUGGGGACUUCAGGGAGCUGGGGAUGGAGUCAUUUCCUUGGGAGCCCUCUCCCAGCAUCGGCCAGAGGGAUCAUUGCUGAGUGAGGCCUUGCCACCCUCUUCCUUUGCCUUCUUCCUUUGCCCGUCCCAGCUCUGGGGACCAGCACGGCAGCCGCUGGCAGUGGUGGUGGCUGCUGGGGCGGCAAUGUCCCGGUGGGACAGCUUCCCCUGCCUCCGCAAGCCGACAGCAAGUGUCUUCUCUCUGGGGGAGAACGCUGGCCCUGUGGUGUGGAGGGUCAAUGGUGGGAGCGUGCAAAGCCACCAGCAGCCCCAUGUCGGCUGUGGGACGUUUCUCAGCGUGGCUCCUGCACACCCACGAGGUGCCUGUGUGGGACGUGGAGCAGCAGCAGCAGCUCGGCCCUGCGUGUGGGAGGCUGUGGCAACCUCCCUGGGGGCUUGAGCCCCACACACCCCUCUCUCAAAAACACCCUCUACCUGCAGAGAGCUCCUCACCCAGGCAAGGGUUUGAGCCCUCAAGUGCCACCCCUCAAAGUGGUGGCAGCGCUGGAACCAAGGGGUGAUGCUGCGGGGAAAUGGUCCCCCUUGGAGCUGGUGGGGGUAUUUCUGCCCAUGCUGGAGUAGCUCCAACGAGCAGGAGCACAGGCAGGAGCAGUGCUGGGCAUCGCCAUAGGUGCCUUGUACCCUCCCACGGACUGUCCCUCUCCAGCUUUUUCACGUCUUCCCCUGGCAAAGCUCCUGGGAUGAAAAGCAACCCCUCUGCCUGUGUGCUGGCGUGCAGGGCACAGAGCAGUGUGAAAUUAUUCAGCCAUCCCUGGGAGCUGCAGCUGGAUGUUGAAGGGCCUCAGAGCUGGAGGUGCUGCUUGGCAGCGAGGGGAGUCCCAGGCUUGUGUUGUUUCCCUCCAGGGGACACAGAGCAGGUUUUUAUGGUAUAUCGAGGCCAGUGCGUAUUUUUCCCAGGUGAGCCGCACCCCUGAAAAGAAGUACCUUGUCUUCUACAAAACACUGCUUAAAUAAACAGUACCCCACUAUAAUUUUUUCUUUUGAAAUUAACUCCUUCAGGCCAUAAGGCUUCCCCAUCCUCACACAAAAAUAACUGCCAGGACUCCUAAAGGGAAAAAAAAAAAAUGUGUGAAAGAGAGAAAAGUUUAGCGUGACAGAAGAGAGCUGUGAACCUCUCCUCUUCCCCAUGGCCCUCAAGGAUGGGUUUCAGGAGCAGCCUGCCCGUUUUGGAGCUGGGUGCCGCUGCAUGAAUGUUACUUAAAAGGAGUUUUGCGCAUAUUAAUGUGAAUGCAGCAAGGCCAGGCUGCGCAGGGACAGCCGAGUCCCUGCCUGAUUUCGACUAUCUUGUUUUCUAAUCUAACCUACUUUUUUUCUUUUGCCUUUUUUUUUCUUUUUUUUUUUUUUGUCAAAGGCCGGUGCUCUGCAGGAACCUGUUCUCAGUGCAAUCUCAGAGCUUUUUGUGGGUGUCUGAUUUCUGUGACACGUUUUGGUUUCCAGUAUGAAUGUAAUGUACAGAGAACAUCAUGACACUGGUCUAGGUGUAUGUGAUCUUAUCAACCUGACAUUUAAGGUUUUUUUAAACCGUCCAAUUGAUCUGAUUUGCAUAAAAAUCACAUGAUUUUACUUUUUUUCCUCCUUCUUUUUUAUUAUGUAUCAUCAUAACAAACUACUAAGGUUUACCAGGCUGUUUUGUGUCUGGCAGCAUGAACACGGGCCUGUUUCUCUCGUCUUCAUUCCUCCCUGGUGGAGGCUGGGGAUGUGAAAAGUGGCACUUGGAGGGGACUUGUGAUCCUGGCCAGCCACUGAAAUCCUUAAUAAGCAAAUGUGUACAGUUUAACUUCCCAGAAAACAAAGCAGCUGAGCAUGCAGGCCAUGCAGUUGUUGUUAAUUUAAAUAGCCGAGACUUCUUUUUAUUGAUAAGGAAACUCCUCUGGAACAGCCCCCCGGAUCCCAGCAGGCUCCCCCUGCCGCAGCCGUCCUCAUUACAAAACAAGGCCGCAAUUAAAAUAAACUCCAAGAGCUAAACAAACUGCUGCCUCUCGCUGGUCAUGUGUUAGCUUUAGCCUUUAACGCAGAACAAAAUGUUUUCCUGGGUAUCGGAAGAGGCAUAGGCUCCGACUGGGAGGAGAAGAGGGAGCAGCUGCUGGGCGUAUGGGAAUGGCAGGGACUGGGGUGCUGCAGUGCUCAUCAGGGCUCCUUUCUCUUGCUUUCUUUUUAUUUUUUAUUGUUUUAAAUUUGAGUGUUUUUAACUUGGUCUUUACUGCAAGGGAAAGGGCUGGAAGUGGAAAAAUUUAAUGUCGUGGUAAAACCUGGCUGUCCCAGCACGCCCUGGGCACACCUGACAGUGCCUCACCCUCGGCCAGCUGAGCUCCCACUGAGCCCACCAGCCACGAGCCCCUGGCCCAGUCUGUGUUACACCCUUCACGUCUCGUGCAGAGGUGGCUGCAGAUACCUCUUGGCAUCUGCCAGCAUCUGGAGGGGUAUUGGGAAGGGAAGCACAAAGCGCCCUGGAGGACAGGACCAGAGGAGAUGGAUGGAGGGAGGGACAGCCAGGGGCUGUGGAGGGGUGCGUGGCUGGCCAGCCUGCAGUGCCUCCAUGCCAUGCCAUGGCUCCCCACACCACCUGAGAACACAUUUUAACCCCCAUGCCAUGUCUGGAGAUCCAGUUUGGGGUAUGAAUCGCACUCGGAUGAAUACUCUGCAAGAGGAGCUGCUCUGAUGAUGGAGGGGUGUGCAUCCAUGCUGUGUGCACAUCAACCCCCAGGAUAAUAUUCUGGCAAAAUUGCCCACAUAACUGGCAUAUCUGCUUGGUGCUGGCUGCCAGGAGACAGUGUAGACUUGCCUGUCAAAAAUUACUUUCUUGCCACAUAGGAGCAAGAUAUCUGUCUGUCUCCUGCUUGAUUUCCCAAAUUGGCUGAGCGUAAACAGCAGCUCUCGGAAGGUGGGUAAGGACUGUCCCCAUUACACUGAACACACACAGCCCCAUAUCGGUUCUACCCCAUCUUUGAUUUAAAAGGGAAACUUAAUCCAGAAGUUUUCAAGCUGCAGAUAAUUACCUCCCACCCCCCCUGGGCCCAGUGGAUUUUUAACCAGUUAUGGACCAAAGCCUGUCCUUGCCUCAGUGCGGCUGUACCGGGCAAGAAGGCUCCUGGCAGGGGACGUGGUGAGGGACCCCUGACCCGAUCAGCAUCCCCAGUCCAAUCCCUUGCUCGUCCCCUAAAUCUUGUCAUCCUGGCACCCACCAAACUGACGUGUGUGACCUGUGGAAGCUGAAAAUCUCUGGCCCGUGGCUGAGCAGAACUACUGACCUCUUUUCUUUUCAGCAGACCUGUCAGCGUUCAGAUGUUGUGAUAAAAAAACCUCACUAACCCCUACAGAUACUUCCCUGAUUAGGAGUUGUGCUGACGUAGUUCAAACCCAAUGUCUAAGUUGCUUUGUUGGGGAAAAAAAUAAUAAAAAGAAUAAAAGGCAGUGCUUGCUUUGGAUGGUUUAUAGUAUUAUUUAUUACUCCUAUGCCUCAGAGAAUCUUGCAGAUACCUGAUAUUAAAAAUCAGCAGAGAGCCUAAGAAGAAGGACAAUGCCUCAAACUUUCACAGGCACUAGCACAUUGUAAUUAAAAGAGGGAUUUGCAUUGACCCUGAUCGUUUUGAAAAAGGCCUCUAAAGUUCAGGCUAAACUAGCCUGGGUUAUUUCUGUUUUUUCUUUAAUAACUCCCCGGACGUCUCAGCCAGCAGAGUGCUGCGUGAAUUUCAAUUUCUCUCUUCAAAUAAGAAGACGUAAUUUUUAUAUUCUUUGAAAUGAUCUGUGCAAUUUUGUUCACGGAAACUCUUUGAUUUAGACUUAAAGGAUUUAGUGACUGGAUAGGAGGGUAUCUGGAAGUAAUGGUGAAAAUGGUAAUUAUUUGUUUUACUGCCUUCUGGAAUUCUUUUAUUUCUCUGUACUAUCUCUAAAAGCAUGUCUGGCAAUAACAAGCUGUCUCUAAAAGAAUUCAAUUAAAUGUAUUGCCAACAGAAUAUUUUAUAAUUUUUUAUAUCAGUAGUUAGAGUGUUAAAUAAUAUAUUAGUAGAUUUAUAGACUACAUUUAGGUAUGACUAUGUAUAGCUACAGUAAAAACUCAGAAUAUUCAUGUAAAAAGGGAGGGGAGGAAGUUUGGUUUCUGGGGUUUAAGAUUUUUUUCUCCUUGUCCUUAUUUGAGUUUCAGUUUUAGGACUUAAAAAGAAUUAGAUUUUCACAUCUUGUUUCUGUUAUUCUCAAAUGACAAGAAAAAUUCAGCUAUUUUUUGAGACAAAAAUUCCCGUGAGAUUUCUCCUUGUUUUAAAUAAUUAAAUAUUAAAGGAGUAAGAAAGAAGAAGGCAGAUCCUACGACAUGGACAUGAAUCAAAUGGGAUAUUUAUUUGCAUAGGUACAUGGCAAAUAGGAAAAAAUCGAUCCUGAAGCUGUAUGAAAUUGCCAGUUACUCCAUUACAGUGUUACAAAUAGAUUAUUACCCAUAAGAACGUAACUCUUAAUGUCCUAAAAAUAAUUUAAUGCUAGGAUUAUUUUUAUUUAAUUUGGUAAAUGACAAAUAUAUUUUUGAUUCCUAUAAAGCAGAAAUAAACCAUCUCCCAGGAACUGGGUACUAAACCAAACUUCUCCCCCCCCACCUCUCUUAUUUUUUUUUUUUUUUGACAUUUUUUCCCUUUUUUUAUUUUUAUUUCUUGUUUUCUGUUUUCUUUCCAAAGUCUCAUCGGCUCUUCUGAAUUUUGCAGUUCAUUUCUCAUUCUUUCUCCCUCAAUAAAAACACUUUUCAUCAGAAAA